rnacentral:rRNA from 1 species
GAGUUUGAUCGUGGCUCAGAUUGAACGCUGGCGGCAGGCCUAACACAUGCAAGUCGGACGGCAGCACGGGAGCUUGCUCCUGGUGGCGAGUGGCGGACGGGUGAGUAGCGCUUGGGAAUCUGCCUGGCAUUGGGGGAUAACUCGGGGAAACUCGAGCUAAUACCGCGUACGCCCUGAGGGGGAAAGCAGGGGACUUGCUUGCAAGCCUUGCGAUGUCAGAUGAGCCCAAGCCGGAUUAGCUAGUUGGUAGGGUAAAGGCCUACCAAGGCGACGAUCCGUAGCUGGUCUGAGAGGAUGAUCAGCCACACUGGGACUGAGACACGGCCCAGACUCCUACGGGAGGCAGCAGUGGGGAAUAUUGGACAAUGGGGGCAACCCUGAUCCAGCCAUGCCGCGUGUGUGAAGAAGGUCUUAGGAUUGUAAAGCACUUUAAGUCAGGAGGAAGGCGCUCUGGUUAAUACCUGGAGUGAUUGACGUUACUGACAGAAUAAGCACCGGCUAACUUCGUGCCAGCAGCCGCGGUAAUACGAAGGGUGCAAGCGUUAAUCGGAAUUACUGGGCGUAAAGCGCGCGCAGGCGGUUCGAUAAGAAAGAUGUGAAAGGCCUGGGCUCAACCUGGGAAUGGCAUUUUUAACUGUCGGGCUAGAGUACGGUAGAGGGUGGUGGAAUUUCCUGUGUAGCGGUGAAAUGCGUAGAUAUAGGAAGGAACAUCAGUGGCGAAGGCGACCACCUGGACUGAUACUGACGCUCAUGUGCGAAAGCGUGGGGAGCAAACAGGAUUAGAUACCCUGGUAGUCCACGCUGUAAACGAUGUCAACUAGCCGUUGGUCUCCUUGUGGGAUAAGUGGCGCAGCUAACGCGAUAAGUUGACCGCCUGGGGAGUACGGCCGCAAGGUUAAAACUCAAAUGAAUUGACGGGGGCCCGCACAAGCGGUGGAGCAUGUGGUUUAAUUCGACGCAACGCGAAGAACCUUACCUGGCCUUGACAUCCACAGAACCUGCCAGAGANGGCGGG